AUCCAGUAACAGAAACCAGAGAGGCAAGGCCUUGUACUGACAAUAGAACGUCGGGCCUUUAUUUUAUUUCUUUCAUUGGUUCUACUUUGUCUGAGCUGAGGAAAACUUUUAAAACCAAACAGCAAAUAUUAGAAUGGUCCCCAGGGAGACUAGAAUUGGUCUCUCUUGCGCUUGUCCUAAGCAGGAGCUGCUGCUUCUGAUUUCUCCAUGAGAAAUGAUUACCGCUUGUUUCAAAACACCCAUGCUGUGUUGAAUCCUGCACAGAAAACAUUUUGAUCUCGACACUUUCCUUCUCAUAACUGAAGCACACACUUUAAGAUGAGUAUUUUAUAUUCUUAGCUCCAAUUAACCUGAAGUGUUUCUCUUUCCGAUGUCUCCCCCCCCCAACCCCCACCCAGUUGACUAAGUCUGUCUUUCUACCCCUUUGUAAUAGAUUCCUCCGCAGGAGGGGAUGCAUGUUAUAAUUUGCUACAAUUAAUAGGAGUGGAAAGGGCAUGUUAUAGAUAAACUGCUUUACCUUCUGCCUGCUGUGUUUUCUACUUUUCAUUCCUUUUCCUCCACCUGCAAUGACUGGUUAUCUGAAAGAAGGGACAUGGGUAAGAGAAAAUAAAGCAACCAUUAGUCUCUCCUGUUUCACCCCUUCGUAGCCCCACCCAUCCGUCCAUAUGUGGCUUUCUCAUUCAUUCCAGUAAUAAUACCAAUUACUAUGCAGGCAGGCCAUUCUUAUUCACAUUUGCAGCUCGCUGUGGACAUUUAUGCUUCACUCUGAGCAACACUCACAUCUUCAACAACAUCGAUUAUACAGCUGUUGUACAGUCGUUGUAAAUGAAAUAUACAAUGCCCGGUUCAGCUCUUGGAAUCCUUUAUAGCGGUGGGAUGUGGGGCAGGAGAGCCCUUCCUUGCUCUGUUUCUCUCUGGUGCUGGCUUCCUUUUCUAACACCUGACACUUGCAGGUAAAGAGGCUAAGCAAGGAGGACAAGAUAGCCCAGAUCAGAGCAGUUCUCUUCUCUUCUCACAGAGGAAACAUUGGAAUGUAGGCUUGGUGGGCGAAUGGGUCUGUGAGAUCUCAGCACCAUGGGGAAUUUCUAGAACCUUGUCUCUGCCUUUCCCCUCUUCCCUGACUCUCUCUCUCUCUCUCUCUCUCUCUCUCUCUCUCUCUCUCUCUCUCUCUCCUCUCUUUUUCCCUCUCUCCACAUCAGGUUAUAUGUUUUGACUUAAAUGAAUGUGUUAUGCAUUGUAUUUAAUUUCUCCCAUGAUUUUUCUCACCUCAAUAUGCCUUCCCAGAGGGAUUAAGGCCUUGAAUCCUUCUGUCCCUGUUUUCUCUGGUUUGGUCUUCAAGCCCUCAAACUCAAAUGAGCAGGAUUGUCGUGCAUGUGACUUUUCAAACUUACCUAUUCACCCAUGAGUGCCAUAUACCAUCAUUGGAAACCAGAUUUUCCCAUUCUCUAGACAUAACAGUAAAUAUCUUAAGGAAGGCCCUAGAAAGGACACAGAUAACACAUCUGAGACUUGUAAAAAUACUAGGUGGUUUUCUUUAUAUAACUUGGAUUGUUCUCUUAGACUUUUUGUUGUUGUGGUUAUUGUUAUUUCAAUUUGCAAUGUUUUUUUUUUUCGUUGUUUCUUUUUUUGGGGGUUGUUUGUUUUGUUGUUGUUGUUUUUUGUUUUGCAAAGGCUCUAUUCAAUGCUAUUUAAUAUGAAUUCCUUUGUUCAUAUUUUAACAUCUAGGGAACCAGAAACUAUCUUACUAUUCAUGAAAUUUUGAGAAUCACUCUCAGCAAGAUGAGUGACUGAACAACAGGAGCCUUUUGAAUGACAAUGGUCCUUAGCAUUAUGGCUAAGUGGGGAACAAAUACCAGUCUUUCUGUUUGAAAUUUCUCCAGUGGCAUCUUCUGAUAUGCUCAGUACCUUAUAAUAUGAAAGUACCAGCAUGAGAAUUCUUUUUGCAAGCCUGAAACUUAGAAGAGAUGGGGGUCACUCAUCAAAGAAAUGAAACAUCUCACACCCUGAACUGUGUGUUGGAAACAGCUGAAAAGCAACUGAGGUUAUAGAGCUGGCCCUGUGGUCACGAGAACAGGAGACCUGUCAUUGGAUAAACUAGCCAAAGCAAUGGUAGAGAGCUUCCCUGGUGCUGUGGGUACAGGAAAACUGGCACAACUACUACCCAGGCCCAAAUCCAGGGCUUUGAGUUGAUUCACUCCAACAUCUGUCUCAUCUAUGAACCGCUGGAGAGUAUGAAGAGACUGGUCCUACAGAUCCAAAGCUACAGGAUCACCAUGAAACAGAGCAUCAGCAGGAUAUCUGAGAGGAAUCCCAGUGAAGAUCCAGUACUGAUAUAGUAUAAGAAGCCAGAGGCCUCGAUCCAGACCAAUGACUCAUUGCAACAUAUAUUUGCAUGUAAAGAAACAUAGACAAAGUGGAUAUUUUGGGACACACUAGCACAAAUUACAGUUUCCACAACAAGAUUUUUUUUUCCUUUGAAGGGAGGUUGCAAGGGUGGAGAGCAGAUGAGAAGGGACAGGGAAAUGAGUGGCAGUGGGGAGCAUGAGGUGAAAUCAAAACAGAAUCAAUAAAAAGUUAAAUAAAAGC
rnacentral:lncRNA from 1 species